UGGUUGAAGGAGCACGCCUGGAAAGCGUGUAUACGGGGAAACCUGUAUCGAGAGUUCGAAUCUCUCACUCUCCGCCAUUUUUAUAUCCUUUUUCAGGUCGGGCCGCAGCGCCUGGGUCUUGCGCAAUGGGGCCUCGUGAACCACGUCAGGUCCGGAAGGAAGCAGCGUUAAGCGAAUCGUUCCAUGUGCCGCGAGGGUGCCUGGGGACUGCGGUUCGACGUGGAAAAGGAUGGAGAGCAGCCA
rnacentral:SRP_RNA from 1 species